GCCUAAAGCCAUACAGGAAAAAUAAUGCCUAUCAGGGUUGUUCAACCCUCAAGUGUUCUGUUCCAUUGCCAAUCACACGUAUCACUUGUACCUACAGAGGGAAAAUUACCAUACGUCAAGCAUACAAAUCCAAAAUGAAAGUCUGUUAUGAGCACCAUAAAGAUAAAAAUCAUCCAUAGCAUUUCAGUGCAUAGUUGCACACUCUUAAAGACAAAAGUUAGUUUCAUACAGUGCAUUACCUAGGAACACCAUUUGGUGUACUGAGCAUAACAAUUCCAAUUUAUUCUAUGGCUAUGAAAUGCCUAAAAGUGAGAUUGCGACAUGAAAGCAAGCACUCAACAAGGUGAUGCCAGUGGUAAGCUCUCUCUGCCACUCCAUUGUUGGAGCUUAACUCUUCCAAGCAGCAAAAUGAUCGAUCUCAAGUUCUCAACCAGCAGGAUAGCAACAUUUAAGGUGUAGUUGUGCCUAUUCAUAUGCCCGGCAUUCACACCAUGUUCACUUCGGCAUUGAAUCCUAAAUUGAUCAAAUUUUAACAUGUAUCAAUUCUUUGCCCUGGUUAUUGAGUAACAUUUCUCAUGAUUCACCAUUUCUGAUGUAAUUAGGACAUAUUAUGGAAUAAAAUGUCAUGUGAUUCACAUAUUCAGAGCGAGAAUAGGAGGCUAGCAAAAUUUCAGGGACAGUUUGGUGCCAUAAUAAAAGCCCCAUAACCGGAUCACUAAACCUACGGAUUGACCAUAUCUAGUGAACAAGGGCAAGCAUAGUUUUGCACAAAUAAAUGGUUGCCAUACAUGCACAUGAAAGGCCCAAAAAAUAUAGGGCGAACCAAAUAAAGAAGGGUUGAAUCAGCAGUCUCACCAUCGUCUCAAGGUUCUUCUACCUACGUCCUUCUCUCACCUCCUCCUGAGCAAACCCACCGCCCCAUCCAAAUCCAUCUCAUGCAUUGAUCGAUCUCGCUACUAAUCAUCAAAAACCGAAUUCCCACCCUGCCUUGUUGCUAUAAAUCCCAUUUUCCCUUUCGAUUGAGCUCCACAAUGAUCUAAUUUAUAAAUCAAUCUGGUAUCCUUGUUUUGCUUUUCCACUUUUCCUCAAAACUAACCAUAUGAAACCCGGCAUGGCCUCCAGAUCCUCACCCUUCCAGCUUUCCUGAUGAUGGCCUUCUACAUGGCCUACACAAAUCUAAAUAAGAAAUAUGAUCAAACUAAAGAACUCCAAAAAAGAUCAAAGCAUGCGAUGCAAGCAG
rnacentral:lncRNA from 1 species